rnacentral:piRNA from 1 species
UUCUGAUUGGUGUCUUUCGCAC